rnacentral:miRNA from 1 species
GUAAGUAGUUCUGCCGAAGACAA